UACGUAGGGUGCGAGCGUUAAUCGGAAUUACUGGGCGUAAAGCGUGCGCAGGCGGUUUGUUAAGACCGAUGUGAAAUCCCCGGGUUCAACCUGGGAACUGCAUUGGUGACUGGCAAGCUAGAGUAUGGCAGAGGGGGGUAGAAUUCCACGUGUAGCAGUGAAAUGCGUAGAGAUGUGGAGGAAUACCGAUGGCGAAGGCAGCCCCCUGGGCCAAUACUGACGCUCAUGCACGAAAGCGUGGGGAGCAAACAGG
rnacentral:rRNA from 1 species